rnacentral:misc_RNA from 1 species
UAAAAAUCCAGUCUUUAAUUUGAAAAUUGAGCAACAUGGGGAUCUUGAAAAUGUUGAAUUUUGGGAGGGUUUACCUUUAGAUAUGAGGAAUUUGGCUGUUGAGCUUUACCAUAGAGAAUGUAAGUUGAAUGAGACUGUUGUUGUUUGUCAUAGUGAACCUGGUGCUUGGUAUCCUCCACUUUUUGAUACACUUCCAUGUCCACCUAUUAAUUAUGGUCAUUUUAAAGCUGUAGUUGGAAGGACUAUGUUUGAGACUGAUAGAGUUAAUGAUGAGCAUGUUAAAAGGUGUAAUCUUUUGGAUUUUGUUUGGGUUCCUACUGAUUUUCAUGUGAAAACUUUUACUGAAA